rnacentral:rRNA from 1 species
UGGGGAAUAUUGCACAAUGGGCGCAAGCCUGAUGCAGCAACGCCGCGUGAGGGAUGACGGCCUUCGGGUUGUAAACCUCUUUUAGUAGGGAAGAAGGGCUUCGGCUUGACGGUACCUGCAGAAAAAGCACCGGCUAACUACGUGCCAGCAGCCGCGGUAAUACGUAGGGUGCGAGCGUUGUCCGGAAUUAUUGGGCGUAAAGAGCUCGUAGGCGGUUUGUCACGUCUGCUGUGAAAUCCCGAGGCUCAACCUCGGGCCUGCAGUGGGUACGGGCAGACUGGAGUGCGGUAGGGGAGAAUGGAAUUCCUGGUGUAGCGGUGGAAUGCGCAGAUAUCAGGAGGAACACCGAUGGCGAAGGCAGUUCUCUGGGCCGUAACUGACGCUGAGGAGCGAAAGCGUGGGGAGCGAACAG